AGAUUGCAGAUAGUCAAUCAGGAAUGGUAAUAAUUUUGUAAAUGAUGUGGAGAAACCUCAAUUCUGACAUAUGUUAUGACUGGAUACUGGAUACACUUGAUGAAUUCAACAGUCAUGACAGUAGACUUUGCAGAUCAACAGAUAUUUGAUCUGCUACAUUCUACUCAAUCUACAUAAAAAAAUGGAUUUAUUAUUUGUUAAAAACAUGAACCAGAACCUUAGAAAUCAUGCAAAUAAAAAGGAUCAUUAGUACUUCUUAAAAAAGAACCACUUUAACACUGGAAAUAUAAGAUGUAGUUGGACAGUAAUGGCAGCAGCAUCUCUGUUGACAGUUCAAUGGUUAGUGUGUCAACAUGUACACACUGCAGAUGUUUAUAUUAGUAGUCGAAGGAACACC
rnacentral:lncRNA from 1 species